rnacentral:rRNA from 1 species
UACAGGGGGUGCAAACGUUGCUCGGAAUCAUUGGGCGUAAAGCGCACGUAGGCGGUCUGUUAUGUCGGAUGUGAAAGCCCUCGGCUCAACUGAGGAAGUGCAUCCGAAACUGCAGGCUAGAGUACCAAAGAGGGUCGCGGAAUUCCCGGUGUAGAGGUGAAAUUCGUUAGAUAUCGGGAGGAACACCGGUGGCGAAGGCGGCGACCUGGGUGGAUACUGACGCUGAGGUGCGAAAGCGUGGGGAGCAAACAGG